GUUUGAUCCUGGCUCAGGACGAACGCUGGCGGCAUGCCUAAUACAUGCAAGUCGAGCGGAAUGAUGAGAGCUUGCUCUCUGAUUUUAGCGGCGGACGGGUGAGUAACACGUGGGCAACCUGCCCUACAGAUGGGGAUAACUCCGGGAAACCGGGGCUAAUACCGAAUAAUUAGUUUGUCCGCAUGGACAAACUCUGAAAGACGGUUUCGGCUGUCACUGUAGGAUGGGCCCGCGGCGCAUUAGCUAGUUGGUGGGGUAAUGGCCUACCAAGGCAACGAUGCGUAGCCGACCUGAGAGGGUGAUCGGCCACACUGGGACUGAGACACGGCCCAGACUCCUACGGGAGGCAGCAGUAGGGAAUCUUCCACAAUGGACGAAAGUCUGAUGGAGCAAUGCCGCGUGAGCGAAGAAGGUUUUCGGAUCGUAAAGCUCUGUUGUAAGGGAAGAACACGUACGGGAGUAACUGCCCGUGCCAUGACGGUACCUUAUUAGAAAGCCACGGCUAACUACGUGCCAGCAGCCGCGGUAAUACGUAGGUGGCAAGCGUUGUCCGGAAUUAUUGGGCGUAAAGCGCGCGCAGGCGGUUCUUUAAGUCUGAUGUGAAAGCCCACGGNUCAACCGUGGAGUGUCCUUGGAAACUGGAGGAACUUGAGUACAGAAGAGGAAGGCGGAAUUCCCGUGUAGCGGGUGAAAAUUGCGUAGAAGAUUGUGGGAGGGACCACCCAGUGGGCGAAAAGGCGGGNUUUCUGGGGUCCUGGGGAACUUGGACGGCUUGAAGGGC
rnacentral:rRNA from 1 species